CUACGGGGUGCAGCAGUGGGGAAUAUUGCACAAUGGGCGAAAGCCUGAUGCAGCAACGCCGCGUGAGCGAUGAAGGCCUUCGGGUCGUAAAGCUCUGUCCUCAAGGAAGAAUUUUGACGGUACUUGAGGAGGAAGCCCCGGCUAACUACGUGCCAGCAGCCGCGGUAAUACGUAGGGGGCUAGCGUUAUCCGGAAUUACUGGGCGUAAAGGGUGCGUAGGUGGUCUGACAAGUCGGGGGUGAAAGGCUACGGCUCAACCGUAGUAAGCCUUUGAAACUGUCGGACUUGAGUGCAGGAGAGGAAAGUGGAAUUCCCAGUGUAGCGGUGAAAUGCGUAGAUAUUGGGAGGAACAUCAGUGGCGAAGGCGACUUUCUGGACUGUAACUGACACUGAGGCACGAAAGCGUGGGGAGCAAACAGGAUUAGAUACCCCUGUAGUC
rnacentral:rRNA from 1 species